UGUUCUGUGGCUUAGUUGCUUAAUGCGCCGGUCUAGCGAUACGGAGUCAGGGGUUCGAAUCCCAUCGAAACAA
rnacentral:tRNA from 1 species